ensembl:snRNA U1 U1 spliceosomal RNA
UGUUCUACCUGGCAGGGGAGAUACCAUGAUCACGAAGGCAGUUUUCCCCGAGUGAGGUUCAUCCAUUGCACUGCGGGUGUGCUGACCCCUGCGAUUUCCCCAAACACGGGAAACUCGACUUCAUAAUUUGUGGAAGUGGGGGACUGUGUUUGCGCUCUCCCCUA